GACGUAGGGCGCGAGCGUUGUCCGGAUGUAUUGGGCGUAAAGAGCUCGUAGGCGGCUUGUCGCGUCGUCCGUGAAAACCUGCAGCUCAACUGCAGGCUUGCGGUCGAUACGGGCAGGCUAGAGUUCGGUAGGGGAGACUGGAAUUCCUGGUGUAGCGGUGAAAUGCGCAGAUAUCAGGAGGAACACCGGUGGCGAAGGCGGGUCUCUGGGCCGAUACUGACGCUGAGAAGCGAAAGCAUGGGGAGCGAACAGG
rnacentral:rRNA from 1 species